UCUAACAAUAUAAAAUAAAGUGAAGUGAACUGUGAAAUUAAAAGUAUACAUAUUUAGAUAACAAAAAAAGACUUAACUUAAAAGUCUUAGUUACCAGGUCAUAAAAUCCCAAAAAAUGAGUAUCAGUAACAUAAUAAUUAUACCUACUGAUUAGAAUUAUUUUUAGUAAGUUAGGACAUGAAAUAUGAAUAUUAAAGUUGGAUAAUUUUUGUAAACUGAUUAACUAAUAUUUACAUUAAAAUGGCAGAGUUCGAAAACUCGAUUAUGUAUCCAAAUGCAAUAGCUGUACAAGUAGAUGUUCAACAUCGUAAUUGUUCACAAUUCAGUAUAUCACAUAAAUCAGUCCAACAGGGAUAUCCAAAAACAGCUGUAGAGCGAAUGAGAGCCUAUAGAGCCAGGAAAAAGAAAGAAAUUCCGAUAGAGAAUCAUCGAAAACCAAAAUCUGAUGCAGAGCGUGCGCGAGAGUAUAGAGCCCGAAAAAAGGGUAAAACCCAGUCAACAGAAGAUAAAAAAUGCUGGAAGAAUAUUAGGCAGGAGUUUGGCGAACAAUCGAAGAAAAGUGUAGACAGUCUGCUGCCAACAUUCAAGACGGACAAUGAACAUGUUACAAUGGAUACUGAGAAAAUUUACAUAAAGCAGGAAUUGCCAGAUUCCUUCGAUAUGCCGGAGUUUAUAGAUGUUAACACAUCGUUCAUCAAACAGGAGUGUAAAGAGGAGAUAGAUGGAAGAGAGUAAGUUACCAGGAACCUUCGAGAACUCUACGAGACCCUCUGAGAACUUUACGAGACCCUCCGAGAACUCUACGAGACCCUCCGAGAACUCUACGGGACCCUCCGAGAACUCUACGAGACCCUCCGAGAUCUCUACGCGACCCUCCGAGAACUCUUCGAGAACCUCCGAAAACCCUCAUAAAACUAUAUUUUCGCAGUUUUCAAGAUGUGUAAAACGAAUGGGGAAAUGUGUAAAAACUAUUACAAUCGGAAAAAAGCUGCCAAGGAAGCUGAAAAAAUUCGAAUUGGCUUGUCAAUAAAGAAACCAAUGAAAAAAACAGGAGCAGAACGUACUCGUGCUUGUAAGCUGCGAAAAAGAAUGCAUUCACAAGUACAGAAGAAUCCGGUAACGACGGCCAAGGGACCGGUGAUGGUGAACGCACAGACAAUUUUUGUUUAUGAUUAAUCACAUGCAUAGGGGAAUUGUGCUUUAGAUGACAUACUUUUUGUUUGGAGGCAAAUAUGUCUAGAUUGAAAGAUAAAACAAAAUAUUAUUAACGUUUAUUUACGAAGCAAAAAAAUUAAUACUAACGCUACAGAAACUUAAGGACUUUUAAAUAAAAAUAAAAAAACACCACCACCUUCAUGUGGGUAAGACGACACAUCAGUGUAAGUUGAAAUACACUAAUUUGGAUAAGGUGACACAGUGUCUGUAAAUUGACAUAAACACUAAUUAUCGGUGCACAGUUCACAACUAAACAUUUUAUUUCGUGGUGUAACGCCAACACAUAGAGCAUCUUAAGCACAAUUCCCCUAAUGUAUUUAUUGAUAUUUAGGUGACCAGCAAAUAAAAAAAAAUUAAAUCAA